rfam:Ovis aries breed Texel chromosome 1, whole genome shotgun sequence.
UCCCUGAUAGCUUAAUGGUAAAGAAUCCUACCUGCAAUGUGGAAGACCCAGGUUCAAUUCCUGGGUUGGGAA